rnacentral:rRNA from 1 species
AUGCAGGUGUAAGUACGAACUGAACGUAAAGUGAAACUGCGAACGGCUCAUUAAAUCAGUCUUGGUUUAUUUGGUCCUUGCGAGAGCUAACGUGGAUAACUGUGGCAAUUCCAGAGCUAAUACAUGCGACCGAGCGCCGACUCCGGGAGGCGCGCUUUUAUUGGUUCGAACCCGACCGGGCCCGCGAGGGCCCGUCUCUUUCGAUGACUCUGGAUAACCACGCGGAUCGCACGCCUUCGCGGCGGCGACCUACCAUUCAAGUGUCUGACCUAUCAACUUUCGAAGGUAGGCUACGGGCUUACCUUUGUGAUAACGGGUGACGGGGAAUCAGGGUUCGAUUCCGGAGAGGGAGCCUGAGAAACGGCUACCACAUCCAAGGAAGGCAGCAGGCGCGCAAAUUACCCAUUCCCGACACGGGGAGGUAGUGACGAAAAAUAACGAUGCGGGACUCUAACGAGGCCCCGCAAUCGGAAUGAGUACAUUCUAAAACUCUUGUCGAGUAUCCAUCGGAGGGCAAGUCUGGU